rnacentral:rRNA from 1 species
CCUACGGGGGGCUGCAGUGAGGAAUAUUGGUCAAUGGGCGCGAGCCUGAACCAGCCAAGUCGCGUGAGGGAAGACGGUCCUAUGGAUUGUAAACCUCUUUUGUCGGGGAGCAAAAGACGCCACGCGUGGCGUUCCGAGAGUUCCCGAAGAAAAAGCAUCGGCUAACUCCGUGCCAGCAGCCGCGGUAAUACGGAGGAUGCGAGCGUUAUUCGGAUUUAUUGGGUUUAAAGGGGGCGCAGGCGGAAGAUCAAGUCAGCGGUAAAAUUGAGGGGCUCAACCUCUUCGAGCCGUUGAAACUGGUUGUCUUGAGUGAGUGAGAAGUAUGCGGAAUGCGUGGUGUAGCGGUGAAAUGCAUAGAUAUCACGCAGAACUCCGAUUGCGAAGGCAGCAUUCCGGCGCUCAACUGACGCUGAUGCACGAAAGUGUGGGUAUCGAACAGGAUUAGAUACCCGAGUAGUC